UAGGGAAUAUUGGGCAAUGGACGGAAGUCUGACCCAGCCAUGCCGCGUGCAGGAAGAAGGCGCUCAGCGUUGUAAACUGCUUUUAUCGGGGGAGAACGGCAGUCCUGCGGGAUUGUGUGACGGUACUCGAGGAAUAAGCACCGGCUAACUCCGUGCCAGCGGCCGCGGUAAUACGGAGGGUGCGAGCGUUGUCCGGAUUUAUUGGGUUUAAAGGGUGCGUAGGUGGUUGAGUAAGUCUGGUUUGAAAGUCAGUCGCUUAACGAUUGAGGGUGGCUGGAUACUGCUGAACUUGAAUGCCCUGGAGGUAGGUGGAACGGGCUGUGUAGCGGUGAAAUGCAUAGAUAUGUUAUAGAACACCGAUUGCGAAGGCAGCUUACUAAGCAUAUAUUGACGCUGAGGCACGAAAGCGUGGGUAGCGAACA
rnacentral:rRNA from 1 species